GCUAGGGAUAUUUUGCUACAAAUUUCUCACUAAACGACUUCUUUAUUGUAAUAAAUAUCAACAUUCUUUUUUAAGAUACAUAUAAAAUAAAAACCAGCUAAAUUCUCGUUUGUGGUGGUAGUUCUGUGGUCCUAUGCCCUCUACAAGAUCAGCUGUCAGCCUGUCACCUGUCACUGUCAUUACCCGUAUCAUAACUAUCAAAUGUGAUCACAAGCAUAAAUAUUAAAUGACUAGAGAUAACAGUUGAUAAAAAUAAAAAUAUACUAACCUAGUAAUACAUAACACAAAUUAUAACAAUGGUUAGAGGUUUGUUUAGUUUCUUUGUUGGGCUCUACGCAGGAGUGUACUUUGCUCAAAACUAUGAUAUUCCAAGAGUUGAUGAUCCUCAAGCCCUGUAUGAAAAAAUUAAAGAUUUUGCCGAUAAGCAUAGAAAGGAAUAAACUUAGGAGUACUUAGUAUUCAUGUGAUUUAUUUUAAAUAAAAUUAUGCUAAUACA